rnacentral:pre_miRNA from 1 species
UCUUCAUUCCUCAUACUCUCUCACCGGGCAGAGUGACGAGAGAGCACGUAGAAUGAAGAGA